rnacentral:rRNA from 1 species
AUAUUAUCCAGCUUGUCUGGAGUAGAGAGUCGAAGACGUGGCUCUCAAUGAGAAUUAGGUUGUAGCUCCAGCGUUAGCGAAAACAGCUAUACUUGAGAAUUUUUUUUAAUGCGACAAUAGGGAUUCCAUAAAAAAAGAAGAUUAGUUAGAAAAACCCAGGACAUAAAUGUAUAAACAUAGUAGAUAUUUCUUUUCGAAACGAAGAAAAGGACAGCGGGGUUGGUUUGUUGGAGAAUCCAGGAGAAAUUCAAUUUGAAAAGAAGAUCCCUUGGUUUUGAUAACAUUUUAGAUAUCCCAGAAGAGCAGAUUAUUUUAAUAAAAACGAAAAAAUGUUUUUUUAUUUUAAGUGAGUAAACGAUCUCUGUCACUUUUGGAGUAACCUAGCAAGUAGGGUCGGUAGUUAAGUUUCUGAUAACUAAUACGAUGGAAGCGCGCCAGUCUUACGGCGCCGUGAA